GACGAACGCUGGCGGCGUGCCUAAUACAUGCAAGUAGAACGCUGAAGGAGGAGCUUGCUUCUCCGGAUGAGUUGCGAACGGGUGGGUAACGCGUAGGUAACCUGCCUGGUAGCGGGGGAUAACUAUUGGAAACGAUAGCUAAUACCGCAUAAGAGUAGAUGUCGCAUGACAUUUGCUUAAAAGGUGCAACUGCACCACUACCAGAUGGACCUGCGUUGUAUUAGCUAGUUGGUGAGGUAACGGCUCACCAAGGCAACGAUACAUAGCCGACCUGAGAGGGUGAUCGGCCACACUGGGACUGGGACACGGCCCAGACUCCUACGGGAGGCAGCAGUAGGGAAUCUUCGGCAAUGGACGGAAGUCUGACCGAGCAACGCCGCGUGAGUGAAGAAGGUUUUCGGAUCGUAAAGCUCUGUUGUAAGAGAAGAACGAGUGUGAGAGUGGAAAGUUCACACUGUGACGGUAUCUUACCAGAAAGGGACGGCUAACUACGUG
rnacentral:rRNA from 1 species